CGAAAAAAAAACCCGGACGUACGAGCGAAGUCGCAUGCCCUCGAGCGAGAACGACUCGCACGCUAGACUCCCUGCCCUCGUUCGUCGCCGCCUUCAUCCCUUCGCCUCCGCCGCCCUUCAUCCCUUCGCCGCCGCACUCGGUCUCACAUCAAAGGCGCCCCACUCGCGGGAGAGGAUGAGCUGAUCUCCAUGGCCAGAUGAGGGAGGAAUACGGGUGACGGGAUGGAUUUGGAUCUCAAGGCGGGGAGGCCAACGUAGCCGCCCCUAGCGCGUCGAGCGAAAGCGAAGGAUUUGGAUCUCAUGGAUUUGGCUGCGUCGACCAGCAGAGGACCGCCGCCGGCUCAGCUCCUCCACCACACAAAGCAACCUCCUUCCACCCCAUAGCCGCCGCCCAAAACCCUAGCAAUCGAGCCCCACCCAUGGCGCCCUAGGUGGUACAGCGGCCAGAGGAGAGGAGAGGAGAGGAGGUGGAGCAGCCAUCGCCUGGACGUGAGCGGUGAAUGGGCAGCCGGGCGUCGAGCAGGAUCAUGGGGGAGCAGGGGAGGCCAGAGGCUGCUCACCAUAUACAUCGCCAUCCAUAGCCGCCCUUGUCCGCCAAGAAGCUGAGGAGGGAGGCUGACCUCCAGUGACCACUCUGCACCGCUCUGGACGACACCCUCCCCCACCAGAGAGAAAGUGCAAAAGCUAUGGGCAAUCCUAUAUGACUGGCGCCAUCAAGGUUAUUGAAGGGAGAUGGGGCUCUUCUGGCCCCUUUGGUGCAAAAGCACAAGCAACAGCAUCUACAGCUGACCACUCAUAGCCUAGGAUGUCCUGCAGAUUUGAUCUAUUUUGGAUAGAGUACAUGGAAUCAAACCACAGGUAAUCAAUUUGCUAUAUUCACGUGAUUAGCUAUAAGGAAUUUAUUACCUCUGUUUUAUUUGCAGGAUACCCAAGCAGUGCGUACAAAUUGUAGUGGUGCUUGUAGCUUAUCAUCAAUCUGCCAUUAUUAUUUGUAUGUUGGUUUUACGUUUCUUAUUGGAAGAGUGAGAUGCCCAGGACAGAAUCCAGUUUGUAUCAACGCCUCAUUGAAUAGAAUCAUGUAGAUUCUGCUGCAUACAAGCUUUAUAAAGAAAUAGUUUUAAGGGAGGACUUCAAAGAGUAUUUUGCCAAAUUUGGUAAAGUGCGGGGAUGGAGGGCAGUCAGCAUCCACCUCGAGGCAGAGGGGUGGGCAGAAGGACGGUCGGUGUUCAACUCUCUACGGUUCAAAACCAAGUCCAUCCAAGCCUCAAAGUAUAAAGAAGGCGCCUAGACACUCGAUGGGUGGUGUAAACCGUAGGGUGUCCAUUGGUGGAGCCAUGAUGCAAGCAUCCAAAACAGACAUAUUGUAUACGAAGAAUGUUCAUGCUGCCAAGAGAAGUGAAGACAUUGCCCAUUUGUCCCCUGGGUGGGCGUGUAACUAGAGAACAAAACACUAUGGCGGCAAAUGAGACUAUCGAACCGAACUGAUUGUACUGAAAACUAGGACCUAAACUUGUGCUGCUGGCCAACCUUUUCUUCAGGGAAUGCCAAGAUAUUCGCCAAACAAAGCCAUAGGAUGGUGCUAUACAUAGAGGACAACCUAUCAGCAAGUCGGGCUCCAGUGUGUUUGGGUCAGCGUCCACGGAGGAGCAGAUAACUGACGACAUUUACGCUGCCGGGCUCACUAUCCUCAUCACACGUGACCACAACCCACCCAACCGACUGUAAUUCUUUGUUCUUACAUUUCAUUGCAAACCUCAUGGUUGACUGCACAUCUUGGUUGUGUCAUGUGAUGGGAACAUAUUUUGGGUAUUUGUUUUGUCAUAUGAUGAUGAUUUCUUUCCAACAAGUAGUCACACUAAUUAAAUUCACAAAUUUGUUGGACAAGUCAACUUUGUAGAUUCAUAGUGUAUGAUUAAAGUUGGCAUUAGACAAACAAAGAAUGUGAUCUGCCUCUCUAAAUUUCCUCUAAUUCUAAUGUGGCACCAAAUCGAGACGGAGCUGAUGUGCAAUUAGCUUGUUUUUUUAAGUGUGCAGCGACUUCUAGCGCUUGAUUAAAAUGGUCAUUUGCUAUUCAUCAUUUAUUUUCUAUUUAAAUCUUAUUAUAUCUAAUCAGCCCACUAUUUCUUUUUUCAAGAUUCUAUAGUUAACCCAAACUUGUUUGGGACUAAAGGCUUUGUUGUUGUUGUCUAUAGUUAACACAAAAUCCAAUCUUAGAGUUAGCAAUAUAGUAUACACUACCAGUCUGAUACAAGCUUUAUGGUAGCUUGUAAGAGCGGGGAUAUGUGAGCAUAUACCGAGCCAUUCAAUUAUGUUACUGAAAUCAUUCCAAGAAAAUAUGCAGAUUUUUAAAACAUGUAAAAAGAGAAGAGAGUUGUUAAUAAUGAUUUAUAGGAAAUUGGAUUGGGUAGUGCCGCUAGCUCGGAUGGCGCCACUGAAUUAAUGACACUAAUGCAGAGGAUUGAAGUAAAAUUGCAGAGAUUAGAACUUGGUCUCGCCAAAGCCCCUUAAGUGAUAAGGGAGACAACCAGCAUAGACAACCGACAACCACUAACCGACAACGAUAAUGUGCUUGUUGGAUCGGUGUAUUGGAAUGGCUAUGCAUUUUAGUAGUAUGUAAAAUCCUUUUGCAUCUAUAUACUUUACCAUUAGGGCGCGAAACUACUAAAGGGUAGUAUUGGAAAGAUGCAUCUGACUAGCUUAUUAUGGGAGAGAACACAACUACAACGUCACUGAAUCUGAUAUAUGUUUCCUCAUUUUGUAGGUUACAAUGGUCGUGGAGCUUCUUGGAUUAAACUUGCAAAGAGUAGUACUGGAAAGCUUCAUUUUCGCAAUACAAAAGGUAGGAAGACCAUACGAAGACCAAUACAAAAAGGAGGAUGCAUGAGCUUCACAGAUCUGAUUGAAUUUAGUCAGAAGAUGGAGACUUGAAGGAGGAAUUAGUGGAGAAUGGGAAGGUGGAUAGAACAUGGGAACAAAUCAAAUACGUGUAGUAUUCCUAUGAGGGGAGUGAGUGGAGACAGAAAUGAGUGCAUGUGGAGCAGCUGCUGCCUAUGAGGCGAGUGAGUGGAGACGGCCAGAUCUAUGCGGCGGAGGGGCUAUAGAAGCUUGAACGAAAGAUUUGUCGCCAGCAUCGGAGCAAUUUAUUGGGCAGAUCGACACUAAAUCUCCUGCAUGGACGUGAAGGCAUGUCUUUAUUAAGUUCAAUCUUUGAAAACUUGGCAUGUGACGCUGUGUAAAAAUAGAAGAUGCUAGAAAAUUGUCUCUGGCCAAUUUCGUAUGUAGCCGUGAGCAUUGCUAAUUUCUGUCAACAUGAACGAUAUUUGGUCUGUUUAUAUAGCUACCAUGUGCUGAACAAAUUGUCUGAUUAAUGUAAUACUCCUGAAUAGAUUGGUGUGCGUGCCAUGUCAUUUGGUCUGCAUUACACUAACAGAAUCAUUUUGUCAAUGGCUGGUCCAUUAAUACUCUUUCAAAAUUUUGUCUUGACUGCAACAUUGUAGUUUUUUUUGGUAUGUAUAAUAAGCAUAGGUGUCAAUUUUGGAGCAGA